AUUGAACGCUGGCGGCAGGCCUAACACAUGCAAGUCGAGCGGAUGAAGGGAGCUUGCUCCUGGAUUCAGCGGCGGACGGGUGAGUAAUGCCUAGGAAUCUGCCUGGUAGUGGGGGAUAACGUCCGGAAACGGGCGCUAAUACCGCAUACGUCCUGAGGGAGAAAGUGGGGGAUCUUCGGACCUCACGCUAUCAGAUGAGCCUAGGUCGGAUUAGCUAGUUGGUGGGGUAAAGGCCUACCAAGGCGACGAUCCGUAACUGGUCUGAGAGGAUGAUCAGUCCCACUGGAACUGAGACACGGUCCAGACUCCUACGGGAGGCAGCAGUGGGGAAUAUUGGACAAUGGGCGAAAGCCUGAUCCAGCCAUGCCGCGUGUGUGAAGAAGGUCUUCGGAUUGUAAAGCACUUUAAGUUGGGAGGAAGGGCAGUAAGUUAAUACCUUGCUGUUUUGACGUUACCAACAGAAUAAGCACCGGCUAACUUCGU
rnacentral:rRNA from 1 species